CCCGAGGGUCCCUUUAGCRUGCGCUAACAUCGGCCCUUUUCAUUUUGUACAGAGCGAAGCCGCCGCUGCCUCCCCCCUUGCAUACUCACAGAGCUCUGAAACUGUCGCUGCCAGCAGCACGGCUCAGGAAGCGCUUGAUGUUCUCYUUGCUGGCACUGAGCAGGAGCAGCGCGAGUCUGGCAAACAGGAGCGUCCAGUGGGCAGGGCUGAAGGCUGGAAGUUCUGCCUCCAGGUCUCCCAUAAACUGGAAGAGCACCUGCUUCCUCGCCUCCUUGUCCUGGAGGUUGGUGAGUGCCAGCUGCAGGAGAAGGGAAAUGAGGAGCYGUGAGCAGACAGGAUUCAGAAGGUCGUGCCAGUGCAAGGCCAGAGGGAGUGGCAUUGCCAGCAGUGCCUCUGGAUGCAGUUUUGAGAAGGUAGAGCCACGCCCCAGUUUGCUCGGUGAAAAGCAGCCUUCUGCACUCGUAGCCCUCCACACUAAGGGCCAGGUGACUAGCAGCUCGCAGCUGAAAUAA
rnacentral:lncRNA from 1 species